rnacentral:rRNA from 1 species
UGGGGAAUAUUGCGCAAUGGGCGAAAGCCUGACGCAGCGACGCCGCGUGAGGGAAGAAGGCCUUCGGGUCGUAAACCUCUGUCUAGAGGGAAGAAACCAUUGGGGUCGAACAGGCCUCUUUGCUGACGGUACCUCUGAAGGAAGCACCGGCUAACUCCGUGCCAGCAGCCGCGGUAAUACGGAGGGUGCGAGCGUUAAUCGGAAUCCCUGGGCGUAAAGCGCACGUAGGCGGUGUCGUAAGUCGGAUGUGAAAGCCCUCGGCGCAACCGGGG